GGACGAACGCUGGCGGCAUGCCUAACACAUGCAAGUCUAGGGGUAGCAAUACCACUGGCGCACGGGUGAGUAACACGUAGGUUAUCUGCCCCCAUCACAGACAUAACCCCGGGAAACCGGGGCUAAUAUCUGAUGAGGUCGCGAGAUCAAAGCUUCGGCGGAUGGGGAUGAGCCUGCGGCUGAUUAGCUAGUUGGUGAGGUAAUGGCUCACCAAGGCGACGAUCAGUAGCUGGUCUGAGAGGACGAACAGCCACACUGGAACUGAGACACGGUCCAGACUCCUACGGGAGGCAGCAGUGAGGAAUAUUGGUCAAUGGGAGCAAUCCUGAACCAGCAAUGCCGCGUGUGGGAUGACAGGGCUUCGCCUUGUAAACCACUGUCGGACGGGACGAAAGGAGGCCUGGGGCCUCUGGGACGGUACCGUCAAAGGAAGGGUCGGCUAACUACGUG
rnacentral:rRNA from 1 species